rnacentral:rRNA from 1 species
CAGCAGCCGCGGUAAUACAGAGGGUGCGAGCGUUAAUCGGAUUUACUGGGCGUAAAGCGUGCGUAGGCGGCUAAUUGAGUCGGAUGUGAAAUCCCCGAGCUUAACUUGGGAAUUGCAUUCGAUACUGGUUAGCUAGAGUGUGGGAGAGGAUGGUAGAAUUCCAGGUGUAGCGGUGAAAUGCGUAGAGAUCUGGAGGAAUACCGAUGGCGAAGGCAGCCAUCUGGCCUAACACUGACGCUGAGGUACGAAAGCAUGGGGAGCAAACAGGAUUAGAGACCCCUGUAGUCCCUGUCUCUUAUAA